CUUUCCUUGUACUUACACGGCAACACUUCAUUUUCUUCUUUGACUUUCUCAAAGAAAUAAGACUCAAGAAACUCUUUUGCUCCCAUUUCCCACGGGUCCAUGCAAAUCAGAAAUUUGCACCUUACUUUACUCUUUUUCUCUUAAGGAAAGAGCUAGGAAGCUCUCUUAAUUCUUUCUCUCAAAACCCACGGUCAACACCUCAAAAGAAAGGUGAAGCUUCAUCUCAUUUCUUCUUCAUUUUCUCUCAAAGGAACCAGAAAACUCUCAAGCUCUCUACCAUUCUUUCAUGAGUGGUUCUAUGUCUAUUUUCCCCCACAAGAACCAUAAACUUGGUGUUACCAGUUCCUUAGGUUUAAGCUCCUUCGACUUUAGGCUCUCGGUUCCUCUGCUUUCAGUUAGCAGGUUUUAUUUUGGAGUAGAGGGAGCCUUAAUCGAGUUUUGGAAGGAGCUGGUUUUAGUUUGAUAUGUAUAGAUCCUAAAUUAGCAAUUUGAUGUGUAGCUUUAUUGUAUUGUGUAUUUUAGGAUCUAAUGAAAGUGUGUACCUUAAAGUAUUAAGAGAUGUAUUGUGUGAAACUCAAAAUUUGAGUAACUGGUGAAUUAUGUUAUUCUUUAGAGUACAAUGUAGAUGCUCUGAAUG